rnacentral:pre_miRNA from 1 species
GCCGGGAUCACAGGGUUGUUGUAUGUCUUUCGGGCUAUGUGGCCAUGUUCCAGAACUUCUGGAACAUGGCCACACAGCCCGAAAGACAUACAACAACCCCAACA